UACGAAGGGGGCUAGCGUUGCUCGGAAUUACUGGGCGUAAAGGGAGCGUAGGCGGACAGUUUAGUCAGAGGUGAAAGCCCAGGGCUCAACCUUGGAAUUGCCUUUGAUACUGACUGUCUUGAGUAUGGGAGAGGUUAGCGGAACUCCGAGUGUAGAGGUGAAAUUCGUAGAUAUUCGGAAGAACACCAGUGGCGAAGGCGGCUAACUGGCCCAUUACUGACGCUGAGGCUCGAAAGCGUGGGGAGCAAACAGGAUUAGAAACCCCCGUAGUCC
rnacentral:rRNA from 1 species